rnacentral:rRNA from 1 species
UACGUAGGUGGCAAGCGUUGUCCGGAUUUAUUGGGUUUAAAGGGUGCGUAGGCGGCUUUGUAAGUCAGUGGUGAAAUACGGCAGCUCAACUGUCGAGGUGCCAUUGAUACUGCAGAGCUAGAGUACUGAUGAGGUAGGCGGAAUGGACGGUGUAGCGGUGAAAUGCUUAGAUAUCGUCCAGAACACCGAUAGCGAAGGCAGCUUACUAAAGAGUAACUGACGCUGAGGCACGAAAGUGUGGGGAUCAAAU